rnacentral:rRNA from 1 species
GAUGAACGCUGGCGGCGUGCCUAAUACAUGCAAGUCGAGCGAACAGACGAGGAGCUUGCUCCUCUGACGUUAGCGGCGGACGGGUGAGUAACACGUGGAUAACCUACCUAUAAGACUGGGAUAACUUCGGGAAACCGGAGCUAAUACCGGAUAAUAUAUUGAACCGCAUGGUUCAAUAGUGAAAGACGGUUUUGCUGUCACUUAUAGAUGGAUCCGCGCCGCAUUAGCUAGUUGGUAAGGUAACGGCUUACCAAGGCAACGAUGCGUAGCCGACCUGAGAGGGUGAUCGGCCACACUGGAACUGAGACACGGUGCAGACUCCUACGGGAGGCAGCAGUAGGGAAUCUUCCGCAAUGGGCGAAAGCCUGACGGAGCAACGCCGCGUGAGUGAUGAAGGUCUUCGGAUCGUAAAACUCUGUUAUUAGGGAAGAACAAAUGUGUAAGUAACUAUGCACGUCUUGACGGUACCUAAUCAGAAAGCCACGGCUAACUACGUG